GUAUUACCCGUGAAGGGGAAGAGUAGGUGUCAUCUGCCUCUAAAAGCGAGCCGGUGAGGGUGAGAGACCGGUAGAGCAGAGCACUGAAGGCCGCCCUGGAGGUGCCUGCUGAAAGGGUUUUACCCGAGUAAGCGAGGACGGUCUCACCGUUAAAAGAGCAAGAGUUGGACCUUUCCAUAAGGUCAAUUAGGGUGGUACCGCGGAAACCCCGUCCCUUUG
rnacentral:ncRNA from 1 species